GACGAACGCUGGCGGCGUGCUUAACACAUGCAAGUCGAACGGAAAGGCCCUGCUUUUGUGGGGUGCUCGAGUGGCGAACGGGUGAGUAACACGUGAGUAACCUGCCCUUGACUUUGGGAUAACUUCAGGAAACUGGGGCUAAUACCGGAUAGGAGCUCCUGCUGCAUGGUGGGGGUUGGAAAGUUUCGGCGGUUGGUGAUGGACUCGCGGCUUAUCAGCUUGUUGGUGGGGUAGUGGCUUACCAAGGCUUUGACGGGUAGCCGGCCUGAGAGGGUGACCGGCGACAUUGGGACUAAUAUACGGCGCAGACGCCGAGGGGGGGCAGGAGGGGGGAAGAUUGCACAAGGGGCGCAAGGCUGAUGCAGCGACGCCGCGUGGGGGAUAACGGCCUUGGGGAUAGAGACACCUGUCGCUAGGGACGAAGCGUUAUUGUGACGGUACCUGGAAAAGAAGCACGGGCCAACUACGUG
rnacentral:rRNA from 1 species